UACGUAGGGGCAAGCGUUAUCCGGAUUUACUGGGUGUAAAGGGAGCGCAGACGGAACUGCAAGUCUGAUGUGAAAGCCCGGGGCUCAACCGCGGGACUGCAUUGGAAACUGUAGAUCUGGAGUGCCGGAGGGGCAAGCGGAAUUCCUGGUGUAGCGGUGUAAUGCGUAGAUAUCAGGAGGAACACCGGCGGCGAAGGCGGCUUGCUGGACGGCAACUGACGUUGAGGCUCGAAAGCGUGGGGAGCAAACAGGAUUAGAUACCCUGGUA
rnacentral:rRNA from 1 species